GGGUCGAUAGCUCAGUGGUAGAGCGUAGGACUGCAGUUUCCGUUUCUGGAUUCCCGAGGUCACCGGUUCGAUCCCGGUUCGGCCCU